rnacentral:rRNA from 1 species
AGCAGCAGCCGCGGUAAUACGGAGGGAGCUAGCGUUGUUCGGAAUUACUGGGCGUAAAGCGCGCGUAGGCGGUUACUCAAGUCAGAGGUGAAAGCCCGGGGCUCAACCCCGGAACUGCCUUUGAAACUAGGUGACUAGAAUCUUGGAGAGGUCAGUGGAAUUCCGAGUGUAGAGGUGAAAUUCGUAGAUAUUCGGAAGAACACCAGUGGCGAAGGCGACUGACUGGACAAGUAUUGACGCUGAGGUGCGAAAGCGUGGGGAGCAAACAGGAUUAGAUACCCGUGUAGUCCCUGUCUCUUAUAU